UGCAGCGACGCCGCGUGAGGGAUGACGGCCUUCGGGUUGUAAACCUCUUUCAAUAGGGACGAAGCGUGAGUGACGGUACCUAUAGAAGAAGCACCGGCCAACUACGUGCCAGCAGCCGCGGUAAUACGUAGGGUGCGAGCGUUGUCCGGAAUUACUGGGCGUAAAGAGCUCGUAGGUGGUUUGUCGCGUUGUUCGUGAAAACUCACAGCUCAACUGUGGGCGUGCGGGCGAUACGGGCAGACUGGAGUACUGCAGGGGAGACUGGAAUUCCUGGUGUAGCGGUGGAAUGCGCAGAUAUCAGGAGGAACACCGGUGGCGAAGGCGGGUCUCUGGGCAGUAACUGACGCUGAGGAGCGAAAGCGUGGGGAGCGAACAGGAUUAGAUACCCUGGUAGUCCACGCCGUAAACGGUGGGUACUAGGUGUGGGUUUCCUUCCUUGGGAUCCGUGCCGUAGCUAACGCAUUAAGUACCCCGCCUGGGGAGUACGGCCGCAAGGCUAAAACUCAAAGAAAUUGACGGGGGCCCGCACAAGCGGCGGAGCAUGUGGAUUAAUUCGAUGCAACGCGAAGAACCUUACCUGGGUUUGACAUGCACAGGACGCCGGCAGAGAUGUCGGUUCCCUUGUGGCC
rnacentral:rRNA from 1 species